rnacentral:rRNA from 1 species
AUUGUAGAGGUUCUUCAAUAGGCCUACUAUAGGGCCUGAAAGUAAUAGGAAUUAUAUAGGUCAUAGAUACCAAGGUGCCAGCUCUAGCGGUCAUACCUUCUGACCAAGUCCUUCAGAAUUCAAAGAAUGGUGGGAAAUAAUCAAAAAUUAUUAGGAAAAUAGAGGUGAAAUCCCAAAAAUUCCUUACAAAUCUAAUAUCCAGAUCCCAUGCGUAAUCGGUAGGAAAAACGGGGAUUAGAUACCCCCUUAUUUCCGAAUAUAGACCAGGAGUAGGAGUAAUAUUCCCAAAAUAAAAUCUCAUGGCGGUAGGCCAACCAUUUAGAGACGUAUGCCCAGUAAAGGACGACCCACCGGAAUCUUUCUUCUCAGCUUAACCUCUAACACAGCCGUCUGAAGGGUGAAUUUCUAGAAUCAUUCCGACCACUAUAUAGCCUACAAGGCUGUUUCGGUAGUAAGUCAGGUAGACGUUAGGGAUAUGGGAAGUUUAGGUGUACGUCAAUUCUAGCAAAUUUUUAAGUAUGUUCUGGAAGGGUUGCUUUCGGAGCGAAUCUAAAAGUAAGGGCCCUUAACCAGGGGGGUAUGAAUUCAUAGGAUAUGGCCUAUGUUCAUAUCGCCCGUCAUUCAACCCGCAAGGGUUGGAAAGUCGUAACAAAGUUACCCUACCGGAAGGUGGGGUAGUUUUAAACAUAUAUAUAUAUAUAUAUAUGAAAGGAAAAUUAAUCCUAACUAUUUACCCAAUAGGGGCGGAGCCCCUAGGGGGGGCUCCGCU